GGUGAGUAUCUUCCCCAGACCCCGUAUCUGGGUCCUUGGGGAGCAGAGUAUGAGUGGAGGGGCUCCCUGCUCCCUGCGUGCUGUCUGCUUUCCUGCAGGUGGACCUGGCCGUGGUGGAAGUGGGCAUUGGUG
rnacentral:miRNA from 14 species